rnacentral:lncRNA from 1 species
UCACAAUCUAUCUUCAAAUAAUUUUGUGACAAGAUUUUUCCAUUCUCUCUAUAGAUGAAAACAUGAAGGACCAGGAGGCUGUGCUGUUCGACCAAUAGCCCCAUUUGAGCAGUGGGAUACUAAGUCCUAUUGCAUCAUAGGACUAUUCUAUUCUUUGAUGUACUGGGUCAUCUCUGAGAAUCUACUUCGCCCUACGUCCUUCUCUCUUGGGAAUUUCACUGGAGACCAGUGUCCACUGAGCUCCUGCAAAGUACUCUGUACGGGCCCAGGCAUCCUGCGGGAGACAGGUGUUAUGCAUACUCAGCAUAUAAAUGGUCCAUGUACCUAUGCUUGCCCUUUCUACCUUUGGGCUCUGAACUGGUUAACCCACCUUUUAAGGUGGUAGUGAAGGAAGGUGUCACACGUAUGUGACCAGAAUGGAGACUUUCACAGGGACAGCAGAACUGGACAGAAUGGCAUGGCAUGGCAUAUAUGAGGAGGAAAGCAGGACAUCCGGCAGGAGAGGGCUUAUAGUCUGUGCAACUGCCUGACUCACCACACAAGCAAGCAUCUCACCUUGCCAAAUCCUGGCUCUGUCACCUGAGAGAAAGAUAAACAUGGUGAGUCUUCCUUCCAGUGUCUCAGAGAGGAAAGGACUGCAUCUGGUAGACAAGAAAGUUUUCCAUAAAUGUUUGUUGAACCUCAGAGUCUGCCAUCAUUUUCCUCUGCUACUGGCAUUUGAGAUAAACAGCUUCCUUCCAGUUCUUCCCUUACCUCCUGUCAUUUUUACUGCAAACCUUAUCCAGCCUUGAGACUCUCCUGCCUUCAAGCCCCUGAUAAACAGUAGGCUCCAGAAAGGCCUCAUAGAGCAUUAGAGUCUACAGAGCACAAUUCAGGGAUAUUUGAAGAGAAAGGUGGAUGAGAGUAGGAUUACUAGCAUUAAAAAAUGCAGGUUCAUCUAGGAAACAAAGAAAUAAAACCCAACAAAUCAGAC